CUCAUUGGCAGGUGACGUCAUCCCUUGGGUAUUUAAGAAGCGACAAUUGCAACUUUAGAUCACCCCUGAUGAAGACACUACACUGGAGUGUCAAAACGUUGGGUCUUGAUUACAAUUCAACUAGACUUUGUAAUAAUUUAUUUAAACCAGAGUGAGCGAAACAUGUUCUCAGUUAGUUAUAUGAAACACAUGUUAACUGUACAAUUUCCAUUUGAAAUGUCCAUCUACAAAAACCCAUGAUCAGUCUGCUAUUAUUGCCUUACUAGAGUAGGCUGUUGAUUGUCUCCUAUAUUUAAUAUUGGCUAUUUGCAUCAUCCUGCAAUCCACAUGCAGCCAUGAUAUCAUCAAUCAAACUUUGAACUUAGAACUGUAUUCAAAGAAUGUUAUCGAGCGUAAGAAUAUAUCAUUAUAUGCUAAAGCAAAUCGUAUUUCCUCUUACAAUACUGUAUACCUUGUAUAUAGAAGGAAAAUAAAUUAUUUUGACUUAAAAAUGUCUUUAUUGAUUUCUUAGGUUAAUCAAUCAG